rnacentral:rRNA from 1 species
CAGCCGCCACGGUAAUACGGAGGGUGCAAGCGUUACUCGGAAUCACUGGGCGUAAAGGACGCGUAGGCGGAUUAUCAAGCCUCCUGUGAAAUCUAACGGCUUAACCGUUAAACUGCUUGGGAAACUGAUAAUCUAGAGUAAGGGAGAGGCAGAUGGAAUUCUUGGUGUAGGGGUAAAAUCCGUAGAGAUCAAGAAGAAUACCCAUUGCGAAAGCGAUCUGCUGGAACUUAACUGACGCUAAUGCGCGAAAGCGUGGGGAGCAAACAGGAUUAGAUACCCCCGUAGUCCCUGUCUCUUAUAC